rnacentral:rRNA from 1 species
UACGUAGGGUGCGAGCGUUUAAUCGGAAUUACUGGGCGUAAAGCGUGCGCAGGCGGUUCUGAAAGUCAGCUGUGAAAGCCCCGGGCUUAACCUGGGAAUUGCGGUUGAAACUACAGGGCUAGAAUCUGGCAGAGGGGGGGUGGAAUUCCACGUGUAGCAGUGAAAUGCGUAGAGAUGUGGAGGAACACCGAUGGCGAAGGCAGCCCCCUGGGCUGAGAUUGACGCUCAGGCACGAAAGCGUGGGGAGCAAACAGG